rnacentral:lncRNA from 1 species
CUAACCACUGUAUAAUCAUAAACCCUAAUAAACAAAAGUGAGCUAUUAGUAGUAGUAGUAAUAAACCCUAGAAAACAGAAAGCUAAUUAAGAUCAGAGAAAUGGCAGUUAAGGGUUUGAGUUUAGCCAUUUUGUUGGUUUGUAUUGUUGUGGCUUCUAGUGUCAAUGGAGCUUUUGGAGAAGCAAUUAAUUUUCAGGAAGCUUUGGUUCAUUGCAAUGGUGGUGUUGAAAAUCAAAAUUGCUGUAAAGCACUGAAUGCUGCUGUACAAAAGGAGCGUUAUUGCUGGUCUUCUAUUUUUGGACAGAUUUUCAUUGCUGAUCUCUUCAAGUGUGGUGUUAUGCCACAUUGUUGAGUAAGUUACACUAUGUGUGUGUUUUGUAUGAUCAAAAUGUUUUCCUGAAAAAUAUUUUUUUCGUAAAAUAAGUGAUUUUUUAUUUUUAUUUUUUAUAUGUUUAGUUACAUGGGCGUAUCGGUCGCUGGGAGGAUCUCAUGGAGCACGUAAAUCCAUGCUCCCCUGCGUAUCUGGGAGGGUGAGGGUUCUAUGGAGCAUCGUGAACCCAUGCUCACCUCUUAUAUCAUAUUGUUAUACUUUUUAAAAAUAAUUAAAUAUAUGUGUGUGCACCUAAGUUCAAAGUAUCAUGCAAUGUGAUGGUUAUUGGUGCACUUCGCUAAGUAAAAUUAUGAAUUCAAAUCUUAUAUCAAUCUUGUUAUUAACUAAGAUUUUUUUUUUUGGUUUAUUCUUUCAAAAUUUUCACACACUGAAAUUUCUGAUCUUCUUUUGACAACGUAAAAUCUUAUAUGAUUAAAUGAAAUGUGUAUAUUAAAACUAGUAGGAGUGAAUAAUGUAGCAUAUAGUCAAUGAUUUUAACUAAUUCCAAUAUUUUUUCCACGAAGUAUAAAUAUAGAUGUAAAAAAAUUCUAUUAAAUAAAUAAAUUUUGAACUUAUAGUUCUAAAAGUGUAAUAAUAAGAACUAAAGAUUGAACCCGUAAAAUUUAUAUUAUGGAUUCACCUCUUCGUAAAUCCUGGAUCCGCUUCUAUUUAGUUAGUAAGCAAAAAAUAUCGUACCAAGCACGUUUAUUUUUCUCUAAACAAACACUAAGGACGACGAAAUGGAUGCAUUUGGGAUUGUAUCCCUCAAAAAUUCUAAUUGCACCAUAUAUACCGUUAUCUUUAUACGUAACUUACAUGCAGGUGUUUAUUGUUGGAUUGCAGGUACUUAAUGGAUUAGUCAAGGUUCGUCUAAUAAGAGAGAAACUACCUUGGUGUUUCGACCUUUGAUUUUCUACAAUAUCUUAUAGAGAGAAAAGAAAAUUCGUCUUGUGGUUCCCUAUAUUACCUCAAUAUUACUUGUAACGUUUUUUUUGUGCAACUUUAUGAUGAACGAAUAUAUGUUCGAUGCUAAUUGCAAGGAAUACUAUGUCUCAAAUUAUCUUA